AGUGAACGCUGGCGGUAGGCCUAACACAUGCAAGUCGAACGGCAGCACAGUAAGAGCUUGCUCUUACGGGUGGCGAGUGGCGGACGGGUGAGGAAUACAUCGGAAUCUACUUUUUCGUGGGGGAUAACGUAGGGAAACUUACGCUAAUACCGCAUACGACCUACGGGUGAAAGCAGGGGAUCUUCGGACCUUGCGCGAUUGAAUGAGCCGAUGUCGGAUUAGCUAGUUGGCGGGGUAAAGGCCCACCAAGGCGACGAUCCGUAGCUGGUCUGAGAGGAUGAUCAGCCACACUGGAACUGAGACACGGUCCAGACUCCUACGGGAGGCAGCAGUAGGGAAUAUUGGACAAUGGGCGCAAGCCUGAUCCAGCCAUACCGCGUGGGUGAAGAAGGCCUUCGGGUUGUAAAGCCCUUUUGUUGGGAAAGAAAAACAGCAGGUUAAUACCCCGCUGUUCUGACGGUACCCAAAGAAUAAGCACCGGCUAACUUCGUG
rnacentral:rRNA from 1 species